CUGCCUGCCAUUGGGCACGCGCUGCACCCUGGGAGUUGUGGUUUGGUUGCUGGUCCUUGGCGCCAUCUUGCCGCCGUAUCACAUGAUCAAAAAGGGGGCGGGGCUGGAAUGGGAGAUGAAAACGUAACGAAGCUUCAAGGUUUUGAGGCAGUGUUAACAAGUCAGAGAAUCAGAAGAGUUGGAAGGGACCUCAAGGGACAUCUAGUCCAUCCCUUUGCCAUGUAGGAAAAGCACAAUCAAGGUCAAGGAAGCCUUUUAAAAAAAACACCAUGUUUAUUUGUAUGUGUGUGUUGUUUCUGCUGUGGAGGAGAGAGAGGACCUGGAUGACCUGUUGAGUUGUCCGAACAGCUGAAUGGCAUCUUAGGGGCCAGCCUGAGCUUCUAGUUUGCUGGAGAGGGUCCAUCGUGCCAUGGACUCUGGGUGUGAGAGCAAAUUCUCUGCAUUGUUGACAAGAGAUUACACAAACACUUUUGCUGUUACACAACAGUCCUUUGGCUGUUCUCCUGAAGUGCCAGCAGGGGAGUCACAACACAACUUCAGUUCCAGAUAGCCCAAGAGACAGGACUUACUUUCUGUUUUGUAGGAGAACAACAAAAAAUCACUGCUUUUCAAUGUUGCCCACCUGGCAUUGGUUAAAUUGAUGUUAACACAUCUUGGUUGAUAAUUAUUCACCCUUCUCAUAAUACUCCCAAUGUGAUGUUAGAUUGUAGAAUCCAACCACCAGGCACUAAAUAGAACCUGUGAAAAUAUUUAAUGCAAGGUUAAAAGUAAAUGUUAUGGUUGACUAUGCUUAUAACGUGUGGCCUUAGUAACAGCCAAUAAAAAGAGAUGCUAACUUCACCCCCUUAUUUUUGUCGUUAUUUACCUUCCAUCAGAGCCCAGCUCUUAGUAAGACAGCCACCCUUUUCUAAACAUAGAAAGGGUUGGGUCAUUGUAAAUGGGCUGAGAAUAAACAGAUCAUGUUGGGGCUGGAGUGGUAUUAAAUCAGUAAUAAAAAUACAUCCCCAAGAUGAUGGGGUGAGAAGAUGUGUCUCAAGAUGUCCUGGAAGCUUAGCUCCUUAUACUUACAUAGUGUGGAUAUGUACUCUGCAUUUAAUAGCAAUGUAUUUUAAACAUGCUUUUUAAAUGUAAAAAUUAUAGAAAUAACCCUUACUUUAUAUAACUUUCUUUCAAAUUUAGCUCUAUGGACUGUUUUGUUUCCCCAUGCCCUGGGAAAACUGCUUUAUACUGAGUGAACAUAACAAAUAUGACACUUUUUAAAGAACUGAUAACACUUGGCUUUUGCCUUAUAUUUGUGUGUAAAGAUCAAAAGUUGUGUUUGUAAAAUAAUAGCUGCUUGUUAGUUACAAUAAAAUUAUGACUAACUCUUGAA